UAUCUCACCUCUGCAGCCUCACAGCAAGAAGGUCUUGGCUCAGCCCAGGCCUAUCUGUGUGGAGUUUGCUGACGCUCAUGUGCCCAUUGUAGGCACUUUGACCGGGGAAAGGGGUCAACAUGCACCCUGACUGGUCUAUGUGCCCCAUAUACCACAGGCUGUGAUGCUCUGUGUGUUCUGACACCUUUCUAUCAAAGCCAGCAUUCACUUUUUCGUCCGUUGGAUUGGACCAGCUUUCGCUCCUCACCUACAUCAAUGAGCCUUGCCUGCCCAUGACCCUCUUACCAGUUCACGCAUCAUUUAUGGCUCUACUGCUAACUUUAACUGCAGUCAGCUAGUUAGCAGCCCUAUUAGCUGACUCUAGGUGGACUGGGAGCUCAGAGUACUUGGAGGUGUGUUGUAGUUUGUUUACACCUAGCGCAGGAGCUUUGGACCGCUGAAGGAGAGCCGAGUGUGGCAGAGCCCAGUUUGGCAGAGAAUACAGUACCGAGGACAUUUACGUCUGGACCAGGACUCUGACUCCAGGGAUGACGAAGAUGUUCGUGCGUUCAGAGGAAGAGCUGAUUCCAGUAACUCUGGGCACCUGGGCUAAUUGCCCUGUAGAGUAUUUGGGACUAUCUUCCCAUUUUGGCAAGGAGGCUGCUGUCGACUCCAGGUCAGACCUUCCUGCGGGCCAUGGUUUCCCCUUUAGUUUGGUUUUCUUUGGUUGGACUAUUGCUUUGUAGUAUUUAUCUUGUUUUCGCAUACAACACCACCUACAUACAUUCAUGCAACCAUCAUCCUGCAGAUACACUAUUGAAACCACAGACUACAUACCUCAUACUUUCAUUAUGUUUGAAAUAACUAUUAAUUUGGCUUAUUUUUGUUAAAUAAACAUGUUUACCAUG